rnacentral:rRNA from 1 species
CCCUUAGAUGUUCUGGGCCGCACGCGCGCUACACUGAUGCAUUCAACGAGUUUCUUCCUGGUCCGAGAGGAAUGGGUAACCUUUUGAAAGUGCAUCGUGAUAGGGAUAGACUAUUGCAAUUAUUGGUCUUCAACGAGGAAUUCCUAGUAGACGUAGUUCUUCAGACUGCAUCGAUUACGUCCCUGCCCUUUGUACACACCGCCCGUCGCUCCUACCGAUUGAAUGCUCAGGUGAGCCAUUCGGACUUUCAUCAUGCUGGUUUCCAGUUUUGAUGAAGGAAAGUCUUGCGAACCUUAUCAUUUAGAGGAAGGAGAAGUCGUAACA